CCGGGUUGCGCUUUCUGGACGUUUCCUCCCUAGACUCCGAGCCGUGGGGCCUUGUCCCCACGGCUUUUUUUUGCCCGCG
rnacentral:sRNA from 1 species